ACGGGAGGCAGCAGUGGGGAAUAUUGGGCAAUGGGCGAAAGCCUGACCCAGCGACGCCGCGUGAGGGAAGAAGGUCUUCGGAUUGUAAACCUCUGUAGACAGGGACGAAGAAAGUGACGGUACCUGUAAAGUAAGCCACGGCUAACUACGUGCCAGCAGCCGCGGUAAUACGUAAGUUGCGAGCGUUGUUCGGAAUUAUUGGGCGUAAAGGGCAUGUAGGCGGAUAUGCAAGCUUGGUGUGAAAGGCGGGAGCUCAACUCCCGGACUGCGUUGAGAACUGCAUAACUAGAGUGACUGAGGGGCAGGCAGAAUUCCAGGUGUAGGGGUGAAAUCUGUAGAUAUCUGGAAGAAUACCAAUGGCGAAGGCAGCCUGCCAGCAGAUGACUGACGCUGAGGUGCGAAGGUGCGGGGAGCAAACAGGAUUAGAUACCCUGGUA
rnacentral:rRNA from 1 species